rnacentral:rRNA from 1 species
UAAUACGUAGGGGGCAAGCGUUGUUCGGAAUUACUGGGCGUAAAGGGCGCGUAGGCGGCACGGCAAGUCAGGAGUGAAAGCCCUGGGCUCAACCCGGGAACUGCUUUUGAAACUGCCGAGCUAGAGUGCGGAAGGGGCAACUGGAAUUCCCAGUGUAGCGGUGAAAUGCGUAGAUAUUGGGAAGAACACCUGAGGCGAAGGCGGGUUGCUGGGCCGACACUGACGCUGAGGCGCGAGAGCCAGGGGAGCGAACGGGA